CUGCGCUAGCCGGGACGGUAGCGGUGUCCUGUACCUGCAAUCCGCUAUAGCAGGGGUGAAUGCCUCCUAUGCGGGCUGUGCGCGUAUUGUUUGACCUGUGCUGAAGGAUGAUGAAGAUUCGGUCCUUCGCAACAGUGGACUGUGAACCAUGUCAGGCGGGGAACCGAGCAGCAUUAAGCAGAACCCAUUGUGUGCCGCAGGAAUGCCGAGUCCGAGUCCAACAGUACAGGUACCAGAUAUGGCACGCAGUUCAACGGGAGGGCGCGG
rnacentral:SRP_RNA from 1 species